rnacentral:rRNA from 1 species
GGAUCCAGACUUUGAUCAUGGCUCAGGACGAACGCUGGCGGCGUGCUUAACACAUGCAAGUCGAACGGUGAAGGGGAGCUUGCUUCUCGGAUCAGUGGCGAACGGGUGAGUAACACGUGAGUAACCUGCCCUUGACUCUGGGAUAACUGCUAGAAAUGGUAGCUAAUACCGGAUACGACCCUCGGCCGCAUGGUCAGGGGGUGGAAAGAAUUUUGGUCAAGGAUGGACUCGCGGCCUAUCAGGUAGUUGGUGAGGUAAUGGCUCACCAAGCCUACGACGGGUAGCCGGCCUGAGAGGGUGACCGGCCACACUGGGACUGAGACACGGCCCAGACUCCUACGGGAGGCAGCAGUGGGGAAUAUUGCACAAUGGGCGAAAGCCUGAUGCAGCAACGCCGCGUGAGGGACGACGGCCUUCGGGUUGUAAACCUCUUUUAGUAGGGAAGAAGCGAAAGUGACGGUACCUGCAGAAAAAGCACCGGCUAACUACGUGCCAGCAGCCGCGGUAAUACGUAGGGUGCAAGCGUUGUCCGGAAUUAUUGGGCGUAAAGAGCUCGUAGGCGGUUUGUCGCGUCUGCUGUGAAAUCCGGAGGCUCAACCUCCGGCCUGCAGUGGGUACGGGCAGACUAGAGUGCGGUAGGGGAGAUUGGAAUUCCUGGUGUAGCGGUGGAAUGCGCAGAUAUCAGGAGGAACACCAAUGGCGAAGGCAGAUCUCUGGGCCGUAACUGACGCUGAGGAGCGAAAGCAUGGGGAGCGAACAGGAUUAGAUACCCUGGUAGUCCAUGCCGUAAACGUUGGGAACUAGAUGUGGGGGCCAUUCCACGGUCUCCGUGUCGCAGCUAACGCAUUAAGUUCCCCGCCUGGGGAGUACGGCCGCAAGGCUAAAACUCAAAGGAAUUGACGGGGGCCCGCACAAGCGGCGGAGCAUGCGGAUUAAUUCGAUGCAACGCGAAGAACCUUACCAAGGCUUGACAUAUAGAGGUAACGUGCAGAAAUGUACGCCCCGCAAGGUCUCUAUACAGGUGGUGCAUGGUUGUCGUCAGCUCGUGUCGUGAGAUGUUGGGUUAAGUCCCGCAACGAGCGCAACCC